rnacentral:rRNA from 1 species
CAAGUCGAACGAUGAAGGGGAGCUUGCUCCCUGGAUUAGUGGCGAACGGGUGAGUAACACGUGAGCAACCUGCCCCUAACUCUGGGAUAACGCUUCGAAAGGAGUGCUAAUACCGGGAUAUGAGCCUGGAAGACAUCUUCUGGGUUGGAAAGUUUUCGGUUAGGGAUGGGCUCGCGGCCUAUCAGCUUGUUGGUGAGGUAAAGGCUCACCAAGGCGACGACGGGUAUCCGGCCUGAGAGGGCGACCGGACACACUGGGACUGAGACACGGCCCAGACUCC